UACGGAGGGUGCAAGCGUUAAUCGGAAUUACUGGGCGUAAAGCGCACGCAGGCGGUUCGUUAAGUCAGAUGUGAAAUCCCUGGGCUCAUCCUGGGAACUGCAUCUGAUACUGGCAAGCUUGAGUCUCGUAGAGGGGGGGUAGAAUUCCAGGUGUAGCGGUGAAAUGCGUAGAGAUCUGGAGGAAUACCGGUGGCGAAGGCGGCCCCCUGGACGAAGACUGACGCUCAGGUGCGAAAGCGUGGGGAGCAAACAGGAUUAGAUACCCUGGUAGUCCACGCCGUAAACGAUGUCGACUUGGAGGUUGUGCCCUUGAGGCGUGGCUACCGGAGCUAACGCGUUAAGUCGACCGCCUGGGGAGUACGGCCGCAAGGUUAAAACUCA
rnacentral:rRNA from 1 species